rnacentral:rRNA from 10 species
UUAAAUUGAAGAGUUUGAUCAUGGCUCAGAUUGAACGCUGGCGGCAGGCCUAACACAUGCAAGUCGAACGGUAACAGGAAGCAGCUUGCUGCUUUGCUGACGAGUGGCGGACGGGUGAGUAAUGUCUGGGAAACUGCCUGAUGGAGGGGGAUAACUACUGGAAACGGUGGCUAAUACCGCAUAACGUCGCAAGACCAAAGAGGGGGACCUUCGGGCCUCUUGCCAUCAGAUGUGCCCAGAUGGGAUUAGCUUGUUGGUGAGGUAACGGCUCACCAAGGCGACGAUCCCUAGCUGGUCUGAGAGGAUGACCAGCCACACUGGAACUGAGACACGGUCCAGACUCCUACGGGAGGCAGCAGUGGGGAAUAUUGCACAAUGGGCGCAAGCCUGAUGCAGCCAUGCCGCGUGUAUGAAGAAGGCCUUCGGGUUGUAAAGUACUUUCAGCGGGGAGGAAGGUGUUGUGGUUAAUAACCGCAGCAAUUGACGUUACCCGCAGAAGAAGCACCGGCUAACUCCGUGCCAGCAGCCGCGGUAAUACGGAGGGUGCAAGCGUUAAUCGGAAUUACUGGGCGUAAAGCGCACGCAGGCGGUCUGUCAAGUCGGAUGUGAAAUCCCCGGGCUCAACCUGGGAACUGCAUUCGAAACUGGCAGGCUUGAGUCUUGUAGAGGGGGGUAGAAUUCCAGGUGUAGCGGUGAAAUGCGUAGAGAUCUGGAGGAAUACCGGUGGCGAAGGCGGCCCCCUGGACAAAGACUGACGCUCAGGUGCGAAAGCGUGGGGAGCAAACAGGAUUAGAUACCCUGGUAGUCCACGCCGUAAACGAUGUCUACUUGGAGGUUGUGCCCUUGAGGCGUGGCUUCCGGAGCUAACGCGUUAAGUAGACCGCCUGGGGAGUACGGCCGCAAGGUUAAAACUCAAAUGAAUUGACGGGGGCCCGCACAAGCGGUGGAGCAUGUGGUUUAAUUCGAUGCAACGCGAAGAACCUUACCUGGUCUUGACAUCCACGGAAGAAUUCAGAGAUGGAUUUGUGCCUUCGGGAACCGUGAGACAGGUGCUGCAUGGCUGUCGUCAGCUCGUGUUGUGAAAUGUUGGGUUAAGUCCCGCAACGAGCGCAACCCUUAUCCUUUGUUGCCAGCGGUCCGGCCGGGAACUCAAAGGAGACUGCCAGUGAUAAACUGGAGGAAGGUGGGGAUGACGUCAAGUCAUCAUGGCCCUUACGACCAGGGCUACACACGUGCUACAAUGGCGCAUACAAAGAGAAGCGACCUCGCGAGAGCAAGCGGACCUCAUAAAGUGCGUCGUAGUCCGGAUUGGAGUCUGCAACUCGACUCCAUGAAGUCGGAAUCGCUAGUAAUCGUGGAUCAGAAUGCCACGGUGAAUACGUUCCCGGGCCUUGUACACACCGCCCGUCACACCAUGGGAGUGGGUUGCAAAAGAAGUAGGUAGCUUAACCUUCGGGAGGGCGCUUACCACUUUGUGAUUCAUGACUGGGGUGAAGUCGUAACAAGGUAACCGUAGGGGAACCUGCGGUUGGAUCACCUCCUUACCUUAAAGAAGC